CGGCGAGUGAAGCGGCAACAGCUCAAAUUUGAAAUCUGGCUCUCGGGCCCGAGUUGUAAUUUGUAGAGGAUGCUUUUGGUGAGGUGCCUUCCGAGUUCCCUGGAACGGGACGCCAUAGAGGGUGAGAGCCCCGUCUGGUUGGACGCCGAACCUCUGUAAAGCUCCUUCGACGAGUCGAGUAGUUUGGGAAUGCUGCUCUAAAUGGGAGGUAUAUGUCUUCUAAAGCUAAAUACCGGCCAGAGACCGAUAGCGCACAAGUAGAGUGAUCGAAAGAUGAAAAGAACUUUGAAAAGAGAGUUAAACAGUACGUGAAAUUGUUGAAAGGGAAGCGCUUGUGACCAGACUUGGGCUUGGUUGAUCAUCCGGGGUUCUCCCCGGUGCACUCUUCCGGCCCAGGCCAGCAUCAGUUCGCCCUGGGGGACAAAGGCAUCGGGAACGUGGCUCUCUCCGGGGAGUGUUAUAGCCCGUUGCGUAAUACCCUGCGGCGGACUGAGGUUCGCGCAUUCGCAAGGAUGCUGGCGUAAUGGUCAUCAGUGACCCGUCUUGAAACACGGACCAAGGAGUCGUCUUCGUAUGCGAGUGUUCGGGUGUCAAACCCCUACGCGAAAUGAAAGUGAACGCAGGUGAGAGCUUCGGCGCAUCAUCGACCGAUCCUGAUGUUAUCGGAUGGAUUUGAGUAAGAGCAUACGGGGCCGGACCCGAAAGAAGGUGAACUAUGCCUGUGUAGGGUGAAGCCAGAGGAAACUCUGGUGGAGGCUCGCAGCGGUUCUGACGUGCAAAUCGAUCGUCAAACAUGGGCAUGGGGGCGAAAGACAAUCGAACUUCA
rnacentral:rRNA from 1 species